GACGAACGCUGGCGGCGCGCUCAACACAUGCAAGUCGAACGGAAAGGCCUGCUUUCCCUUGUGGAUUGCGGGUACUCGAGUGGCGAACGGGUGAGUAACACGUGAGUGAUCUGCCCCCAACUUGGGUAUAAGCCUGGGAAACUGGGUCUAAUUCCCGAUAGGACUGCAGGGUGGUGCCUGUGGUGGAAAACGAUUUUCUAGUGGUUGGGGAUGAGCUCGCGGCCUAUCAGCUUGUUGGUGGGGUAAUGGCCUACCAAGGCGGCGACGGGUAGCCGGCCUGGGAGGGUGGACGGCCACAUUGGGACUGAGAUACGGCCCAGACUCCUACGGGAGGCAGCAGUGGGGAAUAUUGCACAAUGGGCGGAAGCCUGAUGCAGCGACGCCGCGUGGGGGAUGACGGCCUUCGGGUUGUAAACUCCUUUCGACCGCGAGGAAGCCACCUGGUUGGAAGGGUGGUGACGGUAGUGGUAGAAGAAGCACCGGCUAACUACGUG
rnacentral:rRNA from 1 species